GGGCGUAAAGAGCUCGUAGGCGGUUUGUCGCGUCUGCCGUAAAAGUUCCGGGGCUCAACUCCCGGAUCUGCGGUGGGUACGGGCAGACUAGAGUGAUGUAGGGGAAGACUGGAAAUUCCUGGUGUAGCGGUGAAAUGCGCAGAUAUCAGGAGGAACACCGAUGGCGAAGGCAGGUCUCUGGGCAUUAACUGACGCUGAGGAGCGAAAGCAUGGGGAGCGAACAGGAUUAGAUACCCUGGUAGUCCAUGCCGUAAACGUUGGGCACUAGGUGUGGGGGACAUUCCACGUUUUCCGCGCCGUAGCUAACGCAUUAAGUGCCCCGCCUGGGGAGUACGGCCGCAAGGCUAAAACUCAAAGGAAUUGACGGGGGCCCGCACAAGCGGCGGAGCAUGCGGAUUAAUUCGAUGCAACGCGAAGAACCUUACCAAGGCUUGACAUGAACCGGUAAUACCUGGAAACAGGUGCCCCGCUUGCGGUCGGUUUACAGGUGGUGCAUGGUUGUCGUCAGCUCGUGUCGUGAGAUGUUGGGUUAAGUCCCGCAACGAGCGCAACCCUCGUUCUAUGUUGCCAGCGCGUUAUGGCGGGGACUCAUAGGAGACUGCCGGGGUCAACUCGGAGGAAGGUGGGGACGACGUCAAAUCAUCAUGCCCCUUAUGUCUUGGGCUUCACGCAUGCUACAAUGGCCGGUACAAAGGGUUGCGAUACUGUGAGGUGGAGCUAAUCCCAAAAAGCCGGUCUCAGUUCGGAUUGGGGUCUGCAACUCGACCCCAUGAAGUCGGAGUCGCUAGUAAUCGCAGAUCAGCAACGCUGCGGUGAAUACGUUCCCGGGCCUUGUACACACCGCCCGUCAAGUCACGAAAGUUGGUAACACCCGAAGCCGGUGGCCUAACCCCUUGUGGGAGGGA
rnacentral:rRNA from 1 species